UGAACGCUGGCGGCGUGCCUCAUACAUGCAAGUCGCGCGAACAGACGAGGAGCUUGCUCCUCUAACGUUAGCGGCGGACGGGUGAGUAACACGUGGAUAACCUACCUAUAAGACUGGGAUAACUUCGGGAAACCGGAGCUAAUACCGGAUAAUAUAUUGAACCGCAUGGUUCAAUAGUGAAAGACGGUUUUGCUGUCACUUAUAGAUGGAUCCGCGCCGCAUUAGCUAGUUGGUAAGGUAACAGCUUACCAAGGCAACGAUGCGUAGCCGACCUGAGAGGGUGAUCGGCCACACUGGAACUGAGACACGGUCCAGACUCCUACGGGAGGCAGCAGUAGGGAAUCUUCCGCAAUGGGCGAAAGCCUGACGGAGCAACGCCGCGUGAGUGAUGAAGGUCUUCGGAUCGUAAAACUCUGUUAUUAGGGAAGAACAAAUGUGUAAGUAACUAUGCACGUCUUGACGGUACCUAAUCAGAAAGCCACGGCUAACUACGUG
rnacentral:rRNA from 1 species